CGACGUCACCUUCCUGAGCCGGAAGUGUGUCGGCUCGCCGGCGGGAGGCUCGCGGGCAGCAAUGUGGGUUGCCGCGCUGGCGUGAGUGAUGCGCUGGCUGCUGCCGCUGUCCCGCACAGUGACACUGGCCGUCGUACGCCUGAGGCGAGGCAUUUGCGGGCUCGGGAUGUUCUAUGCGGUGAGGAGAGGCCGCAGGACCGGAGUCUUCCUGAGUUGGAGUGAGUGCAAAGCCCAGGUGGACCGGUUUCCUGCUGCCAGGUUUAAGAAAUUUGCCACAGAAGAUGAGGCCUGGGCCUUUGUCAGGAGCUCUUCAAGCCCGGAUGGUUCAAAAGGGCAGGAAAGUGCACAUGAGCAGAAGUCACAGGCGAAGACCAGCAAGCGGCCUCGGGAGCCCCUGGGUGAAGGGGAAGAACUUCCAGAGCCAGGGCCGAAGCACACACGACAGGACACCGAGCCCUCGGCUGUAGUGAGCAAGGACGCAUUUUCUUAUAUGGGAGAGUCAGUCGUUGUCUACACGGAUGGCUGUUGCUCCAGUAAUGGACGGAAGCGGGCACGAGCAGGAAUUGGCGUUUACUGGGGCCCAGGCCACCCCUUAAAUGUAGGUAUAAGGCUUCCUGGGCGACAGACAAACCAGAGGGCCGAGAUCCAUCCUGCAAGGCCAUCAUGCAAGCCAAGGCUCAGAACAUCAGCAAGCUGGUUCUGUACACAGACAGCAUGUUCACCAUCAAUGGUAAGCUGUCCCAUGCACUAUGACAGAAGAGGACUUUUCUUCCUAGUAGUGGGUAGUGGGACAGCCCUGGGUGGCCUAGGCUCUUGAGGUUCAGAGGAGUAGGAGUCUAGAGCUGCUGUCUUAGAGAGCUGGGCUCCUUGGCUCCAUAACACGUGGGUCAGGGUGUGAGCAACUUUAGGUCACAGGGGUGGUUGCAUAGAAGCACAUGGGGGGGGGGGUGGGGCUUCCCCUGAGAAAGACCCAUGUUCAACUAACUGGAUGCAGCUAGCAGGAAGAGGAAAGGUUGGGGGUCUAGGGAGUAUGCUAAAGGCUUAAUGAGCAAGGGAAGGCACUGAAGGAAGGGAGCCAUCCAGGCUUUGACUCAGAACAAGAGCAGCCAUUGUGAGGAAAGACUGUGGAGCAAGAGAGGCCAUCCCUCCUGAUGAAUGAGCCUGUGAGCGUGUGUCCCCCUAGGGAUAACUAACUGGGUUCAGGGCUGGAAGAAGAAUGGCUGGAGAACAAGUACAGGGAAAGAUGUGAUCAACAAGGAGGACUUCAUGGAGCUGGACGAGCUCACUCAGGGCAUGGACAUCCAGUGGAUGCACAUUCCUGGUCACUCAGGAUUUGUGGGCAAUGAAGAGGCCGACAGACUGGCACGGGAAGGAGCGAAGCAGUCUGAGGACUGAGCAGAGGAGCUGCUGCCGACUCAGACCCAAGGCAGAGGCUGUUUCUUUACCCUGCCGUGCACUGAGCUGUGCAUGGAGGACACAGUGUAACCUGUGGCACAGCUUGGUGAGACGUGCUUACAUAAUGGAAAGGAAGUGUUAAAUCCUGCUUUUGUGAGAUUUCAGGGUCUGUCCCAAAAUGCUCCAGCUGGAUUUUAGUAGGAGUCAGUGAGACCCUGGUCAGUACGUGUGGCCUAAAAGUUCCAGAAGGCACAAGUGCAAGACUCCUGCCCCUGCAGCUGCCCUCUAUCUCUGUGCAUCUGAGAUAAUGUGGCCACGUGGGACACAGCCUACACUCAGGUGGCCUUGACUCCUGGAUCACCUUGAAGGAACAGCUGAGACCUUUAAAAAUCAAUAUAUUACUAAUAGAUUUCUUUGCCUAUUUUUUCUUAAAAAUACUGUAUAAAUUUAAAACAUGUUGAAAUUAUCCUUAUUUAUUUUUUAUAAUAAAAGUAUAUAGGAAUGACACAGAAC